rnacentral:sRNA from 1 species
CAGAUUCCGAGCGUGCCAGAUCGUCUUCGAGAUAAUAUUGCGGCUUCUAGAUGACGCAGAAGUGAGCAAUGAGAUAUGGGAUUAGGUGAUUGAGUGGAUGAUGGUGAGGGUACGAGACAAGAUCCCUGUGGUGCGUAGUUUUCCCCUCAUGUCAUUAGCUAAUGAGUGUGCCAAAUGCCAUGGACUAAAAAUUGGGAAGGCAGUUGAUGAUGAUGAUGAUGUGGGGAACUACUUUGUGCUUGCAAUGGUGUUUCCUGCUAGUAAGAUGACAAUUGAUGAGGUGAAG